UGCAUGUCUCAGUACAAGCCAUAUUAAGGUGAAACCGCGAAAGGCUCAUUAAAUCAGUUAUGGUUCCUUAGAUCGUACCCACAUUUACUUGGAUAACUGUGGUAAUUCUAGAGCUAAUACAUGCAAACAGAGCUCCGACCGGAGACGGAAGGAGUGCUUUUAUUAGAUCAAAACCAAUCGGCGGCAAUUUAGUUUCGGCUUUAUUGUUCGUCGCACUUUUUGGUGACUCUGAAUAACUUUUGGCUGAUCGCACGGUCUCGCACCGGCGACGCAUCUUUCAAAUGUCUGCCUUAUCAACUGUCGAUGGUAGGUUCUGCGCCUACCAUGGUUGUAACGGGUAACGGGGAAUUAGGGUUCGAUUCCGGAGAGGGAGCCUGAGAAACGGCUACCACAUCCAAGGAAGGCAGCAGGCGCGCAAAUUACCCACUCCCGGCACGGGGAGGUAGUGACGAAAAAUAACGAUACGGGACUCAUCCGAGGCCCCGUAAUCGGAAUGAGUACACUUUAAAUCCUUUAACGAGGACCAAUUGGAGGGUAAGUCUGGUGCCAGCAGCCGCGGUAAUUCCAGCUCCAAUAGCGUAUAUUAAAGUUGUUGCGGUUAAAAAGCUCGUAGUUGAAUUUGUGUCCCGCGCUGUCGGUUCACCGCCCGCGGUGUUUAACUGGCACGUCUCGCGGGACGUCCUGCCGGUGGAUGCGUGCUCUUUGUAUUCUCUCCCUUUAUGUGUGUGCACUUCACGGUGUUACUACAUAUUGUGUGGGGUUUCAUUGUAACACCAUCCGACUAACUAAUCCUGUCGCGGUGCUCUUAAUUGAGUGUCGAGGCGGGCCGGCACGUUUACUUUGAACAAAUUAGAGUGCUCAAAGCAGGCUAAAAUUUCGCCUGAAUAUUGUGUGCAUGGAAUAAUGGAACAGGACCUCGGUUCUAUUUUGUUGGUUUUCGGAACCCCGAGGU
rnacentral:rRNA from 1 species